UCCGGAGGGUGCAAGCGUUGCUCGGGAUUAUUGGGCGUAAAGGGUAGGUAGGUGGUCUCAUUUGUCUGGGGUGAAAGCCUUGAGCUUAACUCAAGAAGUGCCCCAGAAACGGUGAGACUGGAGUCCUGGAGAGGGUCGUGGAAUUCCCGGUGUAGCGGUGAAAUGCGUAGAGAUCGGGAGGAACACCAGAGGCGAAAGCGGCGACCUGGACAGGAACUGACACUCAACUACGAAAGCGUGGGGAGCAAACAGG
rnacentral:rRNA from 1 species